rnacentral:lncRNA from 1 species
AGGACCUGAGCAGGAUAGAGGAGGAACUGUCAAAAAAGGGAACUAAAACUGCUGUUACCUGCUUUUAACAUGUUAUAUAGAAGUUCGGAGUUUCCUCACUGCAGUGAGGCUAGGCUUGAAACAAAUAGAAUUGAACAGAAAACAUACCCUGAUUGGUCUCCUGUAGUCAGUCUUCCAAUCAAGACUGAAGCAUGCAAUCAUCUACUUGGUGAAUGUCUGGUAAAUAAAGUAUGAUGGCCUUUAAAGUAGAGGAUAUAUUAAUAAACAGAAGGAGGUCUUCUAGCCUUGUAGGGGAAAAGUCCUCAACUUACUUUACAAACUUCUAUCAGCUCACCGGCCUCGAAUGGGAGUGAUCUGGCAAUGAUGAAGUGGCUGCCUUGGAUGCCUUUUAGGGACCAUCUUUUGCUUUCUUGGUUGCUUGCCCUAGCCUGAUAAUCAGGAAUCCAUGAGAAAUGAGCCUGGAGUUCAGCAUCUUCCCCUACCUUUUCUUUUGAAUCUGCAAAUGAAAAAGAUCUACUGGCUUAUUACACAGAGAAGCAUAAAACUCCCUGCUCUCUGUAUGCAGUUGUCACUAAAGUGAAGGAGGUGGCUGGUGACUGUGACCUCAUGGGUACUGUCCAGUUAGCCAUUCCUUGGUGUGGUAAAUUGAAGGCCAAGAAAAAGAGGAAAGCUUAACUGAAGGCUUAAGACCAAGGACAAUUCAAUUCUGCACAUAAAACAGUUGCUGCCUUCCUUUUUGCCUGGAGGCCACCGCUUGCAAUCUGCCUGCAAUUACCUGUGUCUAGAGGCAGCUUCGGGUUUACUUAGUGAGAAGGUGUUAUUUGAAGUGUGCACACAUAUGCCGCCAACCUUGACUACACAAAAUCUCCUUUACACAUAAGCAGACAAUCAUCUGGCACAGUAUAAAACCCUUAAUUAGCUUAUCGCAAUCACUUUAAGGUGAGUGAAGAAAUGUUUUCUAUCACUGGAUAGCAUUUGUAAAGUGAUACGAGUUCACUGUGCUGAUUAUAGUCAGGUCAGCUCUGAGAUGUUGUUCUCCCUUUUACUAUACAAGGGAGAAAUUGCUGAAAUCACCAGACUUUUCCAUUGUAAAGGAAUCGUUUUGCCGCUUGUGAUAAAGAAGUCUCUGUAGUAAGUUGGAU